rnacentral:rRNA from 1 species
CAGGGGCCUCAAGCGUUAGGCGGAAUCACUGGGCUUAAAGCGUGUGUAGGCGGAUCGUUAAGUGCCUUGUGAAAUCCCACGGCUUAACUGUGGAACGGCUGGGCAUACUGGCGGUCUUGAGCCAUCUAGGGGCGACUGGAACAAACGGUGGAGCGGUGAAAUGCGUAGAUAUCGUUUGGAACGCCAAUGGUGAAAACAGGUCGCUGGGGAUGAGCUGACGCUGAGACACGAAAGCCAGGGGAGCAAACGGGAUUAGAUACCCCGGUAGUCCUGGCCCUAAACGAUGUCCACUAGAUCAUGGUUCCUCUGACGGAUUCAUGGUCGAAGCAAAAGUGCUAAGUGGACCGCCUGGGAAGUACGGUCGCAAGGCUA